rnacentral:lncRNA from 1 species
UGGAACUGGGCGUGGGAGAGCGAAGAGGAGAAAUGGUGGUUUGUACCUGCUCCGUGCAAAUGCCAGACCCAGAACACACUGGCUCUGUACAAAAUAACCCAGAAGGCCAAUUAUCUACCUCAACUUCCUUCUUUAAGGCAGACGAGAAAGACCCAAAGAGACGGGACGCAAAUACUCCUUGACAUCUUUUCAAGACCCUGCAAAGCGCUGGAGCGCUCGCUUCUGAACCGCAUCUGCUUUCUAUUCCGCCCGAGUCUUGCUGCUAGGAGGCCGGGCAGGGAGGGGCUCCAGCGGCAAUCCAGGGGCUGGUUUGCGUCAAGUUCACCAUGUAGAAAAAGAGGGAUUUGCUUUUCCCUGCAAGGAGAAUCUGUGCUUCUGAAGCUACAGGGGAAAUACAGAAGUCUGCUUUUUCUGUGUCCCUUUCUCUCUGGAUCUUUCUUCCUGUGGUCUUCUCCCUGCCCAGGAGUUAAGAAUGGCUUCACUUUUGCUAAUGCCACUAAUUUAAAGCCUUUUCACUCCCGGUGGCGAAUAUCUGCUAGCACUGUUUUCUCUGAGGGAGACUACUCAUGUGUCAGUCAAAAGUGCCUUUCAUUCACGAAUCCCGUAAACAAUUAAAUGCAUAGCAUGCUAGGCCGUGGAAACCUUUCUGGCGACUUAAGUGAAGCUUCCUAAUCCUCUGUCUCAGAGAGCCAGGCCCCAGCACUAUGGCCCAUUCAUGGGCUGCUGCUCCUUAAGCACUUUGAUCUCGGACUUGAUUACAGCUCAUUUCAUCAUCAAGGAUGAUCUGAAUUCAUGAGCUCUUCCCUUCCUAAUAACAGCCACUCCGAUCCAUCCUCAGAAGCAACCCUGGCCCGAGGGAAACUGGUUGCAACCAAAGGCAAAAGAAUAAUGGGCUACCUUCAAACACAAGUGAAAAAUGGCGUUUUUAUUAGCCAAAUGAACCUUUGAAUGAAAUGCCUCAUAAAACAGAAAAGUCUCAUUUUUCACGGCACUGUUAAAUCCACCAAUUGCCACUCAGAGAUUAGUAGGUGUGAUUAUUUCUUUUUCUCCCCCAGAGAGAAAGUCUGAGGUAGAGAGGAAACUGAAAAUACCUGCUACACCAAAGCGAGCACACUAUUGAGCCCAUGACCACUGAUCCUGAAACCCACCAUAUUUUUUUGGAGUAGAGUGGGCUGCUUUUCAAGACACCCUCCCCCUUUUUAUUUACUGUUAUUUUUUAAGACUUUGUUUUAUUAUUUGAGAGAGAGAGAGAGAGAGAGAGAGAGAGAGAGAGAGAGAGCAGUUGCCCAGAGACCAGAGAUAUUGAUCCAACUAGAGUUUAGGACAAUUGUGAGCCACCCAAUGUAGGUGCCGUGAAUUGAACUUGGGUCCUCUGAAAGACCAGCAAGUAUAACCCAUUUUAUUUAUUUAUUUUUUCUUUUCUUUUUUUUUCCGGAGCUGGGGACCGAACCCAGGGCCUUGCUCUUGCUAGGCAAGCGCUCUACCACUGAGCUAAAUCCCCAACCUCUAGUAUAACCCAUUUUAAAACUGCCUUCAAGACCAGCAAGAGUAACCCUGCCUUUAAGAAAACGUGGAAUUUAAUUUGGAUUCAGUCAAUAUCCUUAUCAUUUCUAAGGCUGGCAAACAAAAACUGAUACAAAUAAUUGGAAGACAAUAAGAACCAAAACAAUGCCAAACACCGGAAGACAGGACAGGGUAAGGCGGACAAGUCCCUGCCUCACCAUUAGCAGCCUUGCCUGUAAUUAUAUUUUACUCGGGCUUAAACUGGGGAAAGCACAAAGGAGACACUAUUAAAGCGUUAGUGCCCACUAAAGAAAGCCCAUUCUGUGCUUUGGCAAGUUCUGUGCACCAGACUUCGCUCCAUAAGCCUGCAGACCGCUUUCAUGUUGCACCAAUGCCACAGAAAGAAAGAAGAAAGUGCAGGUGGGGGUCCUGCAAAGACACUCCCUGCAGUUGCUCAUUUCUCCCUGUUGCUAACCUCAGCCCCUCCUCACCACACCUGGGAUGCUGAUCUCCACCCUUUGCCACUCCAGCCUUUUAAUGUACAUGGCACACACCAGCAGGCUGCCUCUGACUGAACAUCGAGGGACAGAGGGAGGUGCUUCUGCCCCUUGAGAAGAACAGGUGUGAGGUGAGAAUGCCUCUCUCAGAACACCUGAGUGGACGAGGACUUUGCAGAUUUCAAAGGAAAAGAGGGUUGACUCCUUCCACAGAACCACAAACUUCCAAAUAACUAUCCCCACUGUGUCACCUCCUGUUGGCACAUCUGCAAGAGGACUAAUGUGCAAAGUAAUCCUGGGAAAGUCUCCAGGAUCCCUGAGUGUUUCUGCUAAAAUAACUGAUUAGAUCUGAGAUUUCUUUACCACAUAAAGAUGACUGAGGGCUGGCGGAUGUGAGCAGCCUUUUGGUCCAGUUCUACACGCAUGCACACACAUAUACAUACAUACACACAUACAUACAUGUAUAUACAUAUGCGUACAUAUGCAUACAUACACACAUGAACACACAUAUACACACAUACACAUACAUACACACAUAUGUUCAUACAUAUGCAUACAUAUACACACAUGAACACACACAUAUACACACAUGAACAUACACAUAUACACACAUAUAUGUACAUGCCUACACAUACAUAUACGUUGCAUGGUGGUUUUUGUGCAUAUGUAUGUUAUAAGUGUGUGUUUGUGUGUAUGUGCGA